rnacentral:lncRNA from 1 species
GGUGAAUGCCUGUGUAUAGAAGAAAUCGGGCCAUCCAGGCCCAAGGCCAGGGCAAGGCAGGCAACCCAGGAGCAGGGAGCAAGAAUGGUCAGGAGCAUCACCAGCUGACCAGCUGCAGAGCCAUGUCACCAUCUGUGGACAGAUGGGUUAUGGUCCGAGCUGGUGAAUGGGUUUGCUGAUCCUCAGGGGUUUCUGUAGGGGCAGCCCAGAUGCCUGCUAUGCAUGGGGGUGUUUGGCCCCUAGGGUCCUGUGCCCAACUUCAGGGUUCUGCUGAGACUCGCCAAGGAAGCAGCAGAUAGGCUGUUGGCUUCCUGCUGGUGACCUUUUCAAGAAACCUUCCAGGAUGUGGGGAGCAGAGGGCCCAGGAGCUGCAGUCUGAGGGGUUUGCAGCACCCCUCUCCACUGCACCCCCCAGAGGGUGCAGAGAGUAUAAGGCUCUUAGGGGUUUGCAGCACCCCUAAGAGCACCACUCUCCACUGACCCCCCAGAGGGUACAGAGAGUAGAAGGCUCUUGGGCUGGGGAAGCAAAAUAGAGCAAGCCUGAAUUUUGCAGAAAUGAUCAAGGACAGGACCUGUUGUAAUCUGGGUGCGACACCUGCUGAUAUCCCUCCAUCAUGGCAGAAUUCAAUUUUGCAAACACAGGACUUAGCCAAUGUAGUGCUGGCUGGAGAGAUGACCUUCAUGGCAAUGUGCUCCCGUGGGGGUGGUGACGAACAGCAAGGCCCAGAUCCAACCAAGACCAGGGCUCCAGAGUCUUCCCACAGCGGGUUUCCAGCCAAAGUGGGGAGCGAGUACCAGUGUGUUUAUUUACCAAUGAUGUCAUGCUGGUCUGUUCAUCUUUUUUUUUUUUUUGGAACAGCAAAACCAAAAUGAAGUAACUGAAAUCAGGUUGCAGAAUAAAGAAUUGUUGGACCUAUUUUGAGUUGAAUUUAAAAGUUUUUUAAUUUUAGUUUUUUUGCAGUACUGGGGAUUGAACCCCGGGGCAUCACACGUGCUAGGCGAGAGCUCUCUACCACUGAGCCACAUCCCCAGCCCUUCUACAUUUUAUUUUGAGAUUGGGAUCUCACUAGGUUGCCAAGGCUGGCCUGGAACUUUCCACCCUCCUGCCUCGGCCUCUCUAGUAGCAUGUACCACCACAUCCAGC